CUGAUCCGCCAUGCCGCGUGUGUGAAGAAGGCCUUUUGGUUGUAAAGCACUUUAAGCGAGGAGGAGGCUACUAGUAUUAAUACUACUGGAUAGUGGACGUUACUCGCAGAAUAAGCACCGGCUAACUCUGUGCCAGCAGCCGCGG
rnacentral:rRNA from 1 species